CUCCCACAUCCUUUUGUGCCAUCUUCCAUUUUUAGAGCUGAUGCCAGCUGCAUGGCCAUAAUUCCCACAUUGCAGGGGAGAAAUCACUUGGCCGUUCAGCAGUGACCUUGGUUCUCGUACCACCUCUGUAAGAUGGCCAGACAAAUGUUGCCCUCCAUUUAUACACAGCUGGAAACUAAGACUCAGAGAGGUCCCGUGACUUAUUCAGAACCAUCCAGCUGAUUGGAGACAGGGCUGGCACCAGAACCCUGCACUUCUGAGUUCUAAUCCACUGCCAUCUAUACUUCCAGCUCGCUGCCAUCCGAACCCAAGAACUGUCUGUAAAGGAACAACAAGUUUUCCCCAAUGAUGCUUGACCUUCACAAUUCAUUUCAAUCUUCAUCUUUGAAAUGUCUGAAGUCCAGAGCUGUCUGUUUGCACCAACCUGAUGUUCCCUAGGCCCCAGUUCACACAUGCAAGCACAUGGGAGUCACUACAUCCUGGUUCCUAUCUAAUGGGCCCAGGUACUUUGCUAAACUAAAACUAUCUGUCUCCAAACAACUCUCUUAAGGGAGGAGCAAGUCAUAUUUGGAAGAUUAGUGCUGACUAUCAUCUACAGCAAAAACCAC
rnacentral:lncRNA from 1 species